rnacentral:rRNA from 1 species
CCUACGGGGGGCAGCAGUGGGGAAUAUUGGACAAUGGGGGCAACCCUGAUCCAGCCAUGCCGCGUGUGUGAAGAAGGCCCUCGGGUUGUAAAGCACUUUCAGUGAGGAAGAACGCCUGGUGGUUAAUACCCAUCAGGAAAGACAUCACUCACAGAAGAAGCACCGGCUAACUCCGUGCCAGCAGCCGCGGUAAUACGGAGGGUGCGAGCGUUAAUCGGAAUUACUGGGCGUAAAGCGCGCGUAGGUGGCUUGAUAAGCCGGUUGUGAAAGCCCCGGGCUCAACCUGGGAACGGCAUCCGGAACUGUCAAGCUAGAGUGCAGGAGAGGAAGGUAGAAUUCCCGGUGUAGCGGUGAAAUGCGUAGAGAUCGGGAGGAAUACCAGUGGCGAAGGCGGCCUUCUGGACUGACACUGACACUGAGGUGCGAAAGCGUGGGUAGCGAACAGGAUUAGAUACCCUUGUAGUC